rnacentral:rRNA from 1 species
AUCUACGGCCAUACCGCCCUCAACGCUCCGAUCUCUGAUCUCAGAGGCUAAGCAAGGUUGGGACUGGUUAGUACUUAGGUGGAAGACUGUCUGGGAAUACCGGGUGCUAUAGGGU